AUUGAACGCUGGCGGCAGGCCUAACACAUGCAAGUCGAGCGGAUGAAGGGUGCUUGCUCCUGGAUUCAGCGGCGGACGGGUGAGUAAUGCCUAGGAAUCUGCCUGGUUGUGUGGGAUAGCGUCCGGACACGGGCGCUAAUACCGCAUAAGUCCAGAGGGAGAAAGUGUGGGAUCUUCGGACCUCACGCUAUCAGAUGAGCCUAGGUCGGAUUAGCUAGUUGGUGGGGUAAAGGCCUACCAAGGCGACGAUCCGUAACUGGUCUGAGAGGAUGAGCAGUCACACUGGAACUGAGACACGGUCCAGACUCCUACGGGAGGCAGCAGUGGGGAAUAUUGGACAAUGGGCGAAAGCCUGAUCCAGCCAUGCCGCGUGUGUGAAGAAGGUCUUCGGAUUGUAAAGCACUUUUAGUUGGGAGGAAGGGCAGUAAGUUAAUACCUUGCUGUUUUGACGUUACCAACAGAAUAAGCACCGGCUAACUUCGUG
rnacentral:rRNA from 1 species